GNNAGUCGAACGGCAGCGCGGGGCAACCUGGCGGCGAGUGGCGAACGGGUGAGUAAUAUAUCGGAACGUGCCCUGGAGUGGGGGAUAACGCAGCGAAAGUUGCGCUAAUACCGCAUACGAUCUAAGGAUGAAAGCGGGGGAUUCGCAAGAACCUCGUGCUCCUGGAGCGGCCGAUAUCUGAUUAGCUAGUUGGUGGGGUAAAGGCCUACCAAGGCAUCGAUCAGUAGCUGGUCUGAGAGGACGACCAGCCACACUGGAACUGAGACACGGCCCAGACUCCUACGGGAGGCAGCAGUGGGGAAUUUUGGACAAUGGGCGAAAGCCUGAUCCAGCAAUGCCGCGUGAGUGAAGAAGGCCUUCGGGUUGUAAAGCUCUUUUGUCAGGGAAGAAACGGUGAAGGCUAAUAUCCUUUGCUAAUGACGGUACCUGAAGAAUAAGCACCGGCUAACUACGUGCCAGCAGCCGCGGUAAUACGUAGGGUGCAAGCGUUAAUCGGAAUUACUGGGCGUAAAGCGUGCGCAGGCGGUUUUGUAAGUCUGUCGUGAAAUCCCCGGGCUCAACCUGGGAAUUGCGAUGGAGACUGCAAGGCUAGAAUCUGGCAGAGGGGGGUAGAAUUCCACGUGUAGCAGUGAAAUGCGUAGAGAUGUGGAGGAACACCGAUGGCGAANGCAGCCCCCUGGGUCAAGAUUGACGCUCAUGCACGNNNGCGUGGGGAGCAAACAGGAUUAGAUACCCUGGUAGUCCACGCCCUAAACGAUGUCUACUAGUUGUCGGGUUUUAAUUAACUUGGUAACGCAGCUAACGCGUGAAGUANACCGCCUGGGGAGUACGGUCGCAAGAUUAAAACUCAAAGGAAUUGACGGGGACCCGCACAAGCGGNGGAUGAUGUGGAUUAAUUCGAUGCAACGCGAAAAA
rnacentral:rRNA from 1 species